rnacentral:rRNA from 1 species
GCACAAGCGGUGGAUUAUGUGGAUUAAUUCGAUGCAACGCGAAAAACCUUACCUGGCCUUGACAUGUACGGAACAUUCCAGAGAUGGAUUGGUGCUCGAAAGAGAGCCGUAACACAGGUGCUGCAUGGCUGUCGUCAGCUCGUGUCGUGAGAUGUUGGGUUAAGUCCCGCAACGAGCGCAACCCUUGCCAUUAAUUGCCAUCAUUCAGUUGGGCACUUUAAUGGGACUGCCGGUGACAAACCGGAGGAAGGUGGGGAUGACGUCAAGUCCUCAUGGCCCUUAUGGCCAGGGCUUCACACGUAAUACAAUGGUCGGUACAGAGGGUUGCCAACCCGCGAGGGGGAGCCAAUCCCAGAAAGCCGAUCGUAGUCCGGAUUGCAGUCUGCAACUCGACUGCAUGAAGUCGGAAUCGCUAGUAAUCGCGGAUCAGCAUGUCGCGGUGAAUACGUUCCCGGGCCUU